rnacentral:lncRNA from 1 species
GCAGCCUCUACCUUUCCCGCCCUUAACCUCUCCCCUAAAACCCUCUUAAAACCCCCGGAUUAUCCCCGAGAUCGAGAGUGGUUUCGUGCCUCCUCGCCUCGAUCAGUCCGGCAGGCGGAGAGUGGGGUGUUCUUGGAUCUGAUUUUGCUGUGGUGGUCUCAGGUUUUGAGGCUUUUUUUGGGGGUUUGGGAUUCGGGUGCCUUUGCUUGUUUGACCCGGUUCUUGGAGAGUGAGCAGUGAGCUAGUGGUGAACUGGUGAUAGGUAGUAGCUCACUGGGAGUGCCAGAUCCGUGGCUGGCGUUUGGUCCUGGGAGGAAUCUUUGAGAUUUUCUUUGUGUUUUUGAAGUUGAUUCUGCAAGUUUUGAGGAGAAUUUCGAGAUUUUGUUUGAGUUGUUUGGUCCCAAUUUGAGCGGGUUUGUUGGGUGGGUUUCUUGGUGGUGCGCUUUCUUGGAUGAGAUUUGGGGUGUCGUCCUUGUAGCGUAUGGAUAUGCGGCCUCCGAUGGUGUCU